AGUCUUAUAUUCAUUAAUGAUAUAAAAUUGCAAAUUUUAAGGUGUAAAUUAUACUAAGGCUU
rnacentral:tRNA from 1 species